GACGAACGCUGGCGGCGUGCUUAACACAUGCAAGUCGAACGGAAAGACCCUGCUUUUGUGGGUGCUCGAGUGGCGAACGGGUGAGUAACACGUGAGUAACCUGCCCUUGACUUUGGGAUAACUUCAGGAAACUGGGGCUAAUACCGGAUAGGAGCUCCUGCUGCAUGGUGGGGGUUGGAAAGUUUCGGCGGUUGGGGAUGGACUCGCGGCUUAUCAGCUUGUUGGUGGGGUAGUGGCUUACCAAGGCUUUGACGGGUAGCCGGCCUGAGAGGGUGACCGGCCACAUUGGGACUGAGAUACGGCCCAGACUCCUACGGGAGGCAGCAGUGGGGAAUAUUGCACAAUGGGCGGAAGCCUGAUGCAGCAACGCCGCGUGCGGGAUGACGGCCUUCGGGUUGUAAACCGCUUUCGCCUGUGACGAAGCGUGAGUGACGGUAAUGGGUAAAGAAGCACCGGCUAACUACGUG
rnacentral:rRNA from 1 species